rnacentral:lncRNA from 1 species
AUCUCGAAACACAAAUUAAAAAUUAAAUUAACAACAAUAUAUGUAAUUUUAUACUUGCGACUGUCACAUCUAUUUAACUAUAUAAAUGAAAUUAAAGCUCUGAUAUAAUUUAUAUAUUACAAAUUCAGGCUCAUAUUUUAUAGAUUAAUUCCUAAAUAUCAGAUCUUUUUUUGCUGAAGAAAACCCGUAAUGACAAAGAAGGAUAGUUCAAACUCAUGUGGCUUGAAAAAACAAAUAUAGCCAUAAAUAUUGAACCAACAUGAAGACAUGUACAUCAGAAAGUUCAACUAGAUGGAGAACCCCAUGAGUGGAGCAAAUUUGGUAAAUAUCUCAACUUCCUUCUCUGUUGAUUUUGUUUCUUAAGUUUUUAUCAACAACUUUCGGAGUUAGACAUCUAUAUUUCGUCAUCUUUGAAAGAUGGUCCAUCAUAGUUCUUUGUUUUAUUUUUGCUUUAACUAUCUUUUUGUUGGUUCUGUUGGAAACUUUGGGUAACGGCCUGCUUGACGUGAUUGCAAGAAAAUUGGAAGAAGAAAAUUUGAAUUUUGAUUAUUGAGAGAGAAAUUUUGAAUUUUUAUUUGAUUGAAUCUAUUAAGAUUUGGAAGAUAUUGAAAUCAACUAGAUUAGCGUGAUUUGGAGAACUCAUAUUUAAUUGAGUAUUCUCUUUCCUUUGAAAGUGUAACUCAUUUUGUUUUAAUAUAUCAGAUUUAAUGUAUCUGGCUUCUUUGCUAUGUAUCCGAAUAACAUUGAAUGUGAGAGAUUUUUGUAAAUUAAAAAAGAGUAGGGAUAAAAUAUAAUUUAUGUUCUUAUACUAUGUGAUUUAUGUAAGUUAUACCAAUAAAGAAAAUGAUUACCAAUAAGAUUAAUGGCUAAUUAAGAUGAAUGAUGUCUAAAUAACAAAUAUGUUACAAUUAGGAAAGUAAUGAUAUAUACAAUAUGUUAGGAGAAAGGUCAAAUAAGACUAAUAAGGACAUUCAAUAGUCAUUAAUAAUAUGUUAGAAUAAUUAACUUAUACUGAAAUGAAUUUAUGCAAUGAUAUAAACUUUUGUUGAGAUGCUAACAUAUUUUUCCAACAAAGUAACCAUAGUUCAUUUUUUUUAAAAAAUAAAAAUAAAAGGAAAAAAGCAAAUAUCUCCAUUGAUUUAUCAAUUUAUAUAUAUAUAUAUAUAUAUAUAUAUAUAUAUUACAGAAUUGAACCCUAAUAUUUAUUUUGUGACAUAGAACACUUCUACUACUAGAUCUUACAAACUCUUCAAUAAUAUUCUUUAUAAUCCACCAAUUUUUCUAAAUAAAUAAUCAAUUGGGAAUCUGUUAGUUUCACUAAAAAAACAAAAUGAAUACUUAUUCUUUCCAUUUCCUUAAAAAUAAAACUAAUUGAUAGAGAGGACUCGUGGGUUCUUAUUGUUUUUUAUUUUUUUAGCAUUGGAUUCAAUCUUAAUGAAAACAAAUAGUUCGUGGCAGAUACACAUUUGUUUGUAACAUAAAUUAGAUAUGUUUUGGAACUUAGAUUAAAUAGAGAAAAAAAUAUCUAAUUAAUAUAGGAGAUCGAUGAAAAAGAUCAUUUUUUACGACUCCUUUCCUAGAAAACUAAAUAUCAUUUUAAUUUUAUUAAUUUUUCUAUAAUUGAACAAUUACUUACAAAAUUAAUAUGCGAUUGUGGAGCAUUUUAAUUCAUAGUUUAGUUAUAGUAUCGCUUCCCAACUAUUUAUAUUUUCUUAUUUAUAAGUGGAAUCAGGUAGUGAGCUCUGUGAAAUUUUCAUUUUGUGAAAGACGCAAUAUUAUACUUUCUUCAUUUCUUAGAUAUUUAGCUUUUUUAAUAUACUCCAAAAUGAGUGUCUCUUGUAAAAUAUCAAGAAGAUACUAUUUUUGUUUUUUUCUUCAAAGUUAAUCUUACCUAAAAUGCGCAAGAUUAGUUUUUUAAAUAAAUAUAGAACUUUGAAAUAUGGGAGACAGUUGUAUCAUAGUUGACAAUAGUUGAAACAUCUAUUGUGAUCCUGAAAAAAUCUUGUGUAGAUAGCAUUAUAUACACCACCGACAAAUAAUAAAAAAAUUUCCUAUAUAAUGUUGAUGUUUUUUGGUUGCAUUUAAAGACACACUUAAGAGUACGUGGUUGUUAAUUAACUAAAUUAUAUGUCCUAGUUGUUGAUACAUAGGAUUGAUAAUAUGAUUAUGGUUUACCGGACCUUUAACUUUUUAUUAAAAUGAGAGAUCUAACUAUAUUGCUGAAGUGAGAUAGGUCAAUCAAUCACAACAUAUAAAGUUAUCUUUCUGUAUUUGAACCAACUAAGACAAUGUAGGUACAUCAAUAUCCUAGAAGCGAAUCUAUCCCUAUUCUAGUUGGAACUGAGAAAUUAGAACACAUUCCUUAUGCUAUAUGUUUCAACAAAAGGCUCUGUCAUCCGAGUUCAUAAAAGGUUUAUACAUGAACUUUCGUGAUAAUUAAGCAUUAAAGUAACAAGAGAAACAACGUAAAAGACACCAAUAAUGAUAAACGUACAGUAACCAACACAAAAUAAUGUCAAUCAUGUUCUGUAACCUCAAUUCUAGAACGAGAGUUUCUAGCCGCUAAUCAAUCGAAUAGCGAUGGUAUGGAUUGAAGAAUUCGUACAAGAAUUAAACUAAUGAAAAGAGGAAAGAAAAACCUAUAGAAAGUGCCGCCAAAGUGGUCCAAGAUGUAACCCGAAUCGUCCAAGGUGUCACCUCCAAAGUAGGUCCAUUAAAAUAUGUAAAAAAAAAAAUUAAGAAUUCCAUAGUGUAAUUAUGAAAUAACAUCUUAUUUCUAUUUUUUUAUAGUUACAUUAAUCCCUUAAAUUAAAUUUUACACUUUCUAGAUACAUAUCUGACAAUUUGGAUAUGUUAAUUGUGAUAUAUUAUAUAUAUGCAACAAAACAGAAAAUCAAAUUAGAAUCCCAUAAUUUAUUUUGCUCAGUCCCUUCUUACAGUCAAACAGUUAAACAUAAAUCCUAGAAUAAAAAACCAAUUCAAAAUUUGAAAUCCCUAUUCAUCAUUAUGUCUCUGUUUCGACGAAGAAACUUUCAACUAGAAUUAAAAAUUUUGCCAAAAAUUUGAUAAGAUAAUGACUCUUUUGAUUUUGUAGAGGCAUUCAAAAAUAUGAGAAAGUGAGGUUAGUUAUGAACGAUACAGGAGUGAUGAGAUAGUAAUUCGAAAAAAUAUUUUAUUUUUAAAUCGGGGUUCAGCCUUUGCAGCUGGGUUGAAUAUUGAUGAAUUGACCAAAAAAAUCGAGACAUGACAUAUUGUAAAAGGUAAUUUUCUCCACUAAUUAUUAGGAAUGAUAUAUGGGGGUAAAAUUGUACGCGGAGGUUAAGAAAUGUAAGGUUGAAUUUGCUAUGUAUCCCCCUCUGUAUUGAUACUCCAGAUAAGAAUGUUGCCGAGAUACAAAACUUUGAUGCAUCAACUGGUGCAAUUGUAUGAGUUAAAAAGGACACAUAUGGCUAGAAUCAAAAAUUGGUGAUUCGUGUUAUAUACAAAAAAUAUAGAUAACAAAUUACAUAGCUGAUACAAAUAGUAUAGAAGUGAAGGUGGAACAAUUGUACAAGGAUAAACACUACUCCAGUGGUUGUAAUAACAAAACACAAAAUAGAACAUAACUUUAAUUUUCAAGUUACAAGAUCUGAUGAUAAAGACACAUAUUAUUGUGCUUUAAUCAUUUCAUUGGAAAAAUAACUUAAAUACACAACUAUAAUUUUUAUAUUCUCUAAUUUUUCCCACCUUUUUUAAAUAUUACAUAAUUUCCUUUUUUUUAAUUUUAGUGUAAGUUUUUAGAUACAUUACAUUCUCUCUCCUAUAAUACACAUUUACCCAUUUUAAUGCCUAUUUUUUCUCCAUUAAAACACUCAACCUCUUAAAUCAGUUUUUGAAUUUUGAAUUUUAUCCAUUUUAACACUCAACCUUUUAAAUCAGCUUUUUGAUUUUGAAUUAUUAAAUUUAAUUAAUUUUAAAUAAAAGACCAAAUUUUGAAAUUUUGAAUUUCAAAAUUCAAAAAAUUUGAAAUUUAAAAAAGUAAAAAUUUCAGGAAGCAGGACAACUUCUCUUAACUUCUACCGUUUUGUUCUCCAUCAAGUUUAAGUUCUUUUUGCAUGAUCCUAUGAAUCUUCAGAUGGAUUCAAACAAAGACUCUGGCUGUAAGAAGCUCAAUUAAUAGUCUCUUCGGCUUCUUUUCGUAAAGUUAACAUUUCCUUUUUGUUCUAUGUUAAGAUGUAAUCUGGAUUUGAUAAUAUUUCAUUCUUUUACAGAUCUGUACAAACUAGACGUGCUAAACUUGGAAGGGUCUGUUGUUACUGCGUCAUGUUUGGAUUACCUCACAGGUCUGCUUUUACUAUUUUAAUUUCCAUGUUAUCUUACUAGGCCUAGUUUGCGGGACAAACUUUAUGAAGUAAAAGAGAAUUUUUCGGGGAAUUACUUCUCUAUUCUGGGAUUCCAUCACGUUGUUGAAGUUUCUGAUAGUUCGUUUAUCCUAAUGCAGCUCUCACUUCAUUGAAGUCGCUAAACUGUCAAUAGAUCUCACCUUUUAGAUGAUGGAUGCGAGAAGUUUUUGGGUAAGUGGAAGACAUUUGUUAUCUGCCAAAAAGAACUGACUAAAGCAAAACCAUUCCACAUUGUUAGCCAACCGUUUUAUAUCUGCAGCACUCAGCAGUUUGAAAGAGUUAAAUCUGGGAUUUAACAAUAUCACGGAUACAUGAAUUUGUUGUGUAUCAUAAUAUUUUAUAUGUAUCAUGAGGUUUUUAAAAUUAUUAUAAUGUAUCAUUCAAUAAUGCGUCAUCAACUGGGCUUGAGGAUACAUAUAGAAUCAGUGCUUUAGUCAAUGCAUUGAUACAUGUAGUAGAUAUGUAUCACAUGUUUUGCAUGUAGUAUGAAUUCCUGAAAACUGAUAUCAUGUAUCAGUAAGGUAUUAGUUGUUUAGUUGAUGUACUGAUACAUGUUUUGAAAAUUGUUAUAAUGUAUCAUUCACUAAAUUUAAUAAAUGCGUCAUCAACUGUACUUGAUGAUACAUAGAGAAUCAGUGUGUAUAUUGUUUAGUAGAUGUUUCUGAUACAUGUAUUAGAUAUGUAUCACAUGUUAUAAUGUUUUAGUUAAUUCACUGAUACAUGUAGUAGACAUGUAUCACAUGUUUUUCAUGUAGUAUGAAUUUCUGAAAACUGAAACCAUGUAUCAGUAAGUUAUUAGUUGUUUUAUUUAGUAUUUAUAUUUCAAUAUCGUUAUAAUUUGUUGUUUUAAUUUCAAAUUGCAGCCAAUGAAGUACAAGAUUAAAAAGAUACCAAGACAUCCCAUAAUGUUUGUUGUCAAUUUUAACAACAAUUUCCUAAAGGAAAAGAAUGUGAUCAGAUUCCAGGGGGGAGGAGUAUCUUCAGCAGACUGAUUAUGCAAGGAAACUGUACUGCAUAUAAACACCAGAGGCAAAAGCAUCUUCAGCUUCCAAAGACCUUUACUUGCUUCAAAUUCAUACCCUUAGGUCUUGUAGUUAGAGAACUUAUUGUAUUGUCUUUUUAUUCACUAUGUAAGAUUGUUUCUCGUGUUUUGUAGUUGUAGCAUGUAUAGACUUUUUGUAAUUGAUAAGAGUAUAGAUAAUUAUCAUCUAUUUGUUUUGUAUUGAACACUAUUGGAUGAAUAGAGUGCAU